AACAUUUAACGCAUUUUGUACAUGGUGAAUAUCUUCUCUCUGACGUGGAAACAAUUAUGCUGUCCUAAACGUCAGUUAAACAAGGCAACUGCCAUUAGCUCCUACUCAACAUAACAAGAAACUUCUCUGAAA
rnacentral:sRNA from 1 species